UCAUAUUGAAUCACCUGAGUCCUUGAAUCAAACUAUCAAACAAAAGCACUUGUUGUUGUUCCCAUUCAUCCAGCUGAAGUUUGGAGACUAUAUAAGACAGAACAACUCUACCACUGUACCUUUUGAAGACGUGUAGCUGUACAAUGAGGGUUGUUCUUGGUUUGCUGCUGUUGCUACUCGGUCUGUGUGGGUCAGGAGCUCAUGGGGAGGGUGGAGGCCUCAGCGAGGUGGGUGAGAUUAGCCAGUUUCAGAAGACAGCUCCAAGAGAUGCAGAUGAGGAAUCGACCGAGUAGACCACAGAGCAAACCACCACUGACUUCUGUGCGGAGCUGAGGGCACUGAGAGACAUGGUGGUGGAGCUUAAAGUGGAGCUGAGGAACAUGGAGGCCAGAGUGAAGGACAGCGAGAGCCAGGUGAAAGACCUGAAAGCUGAGCUGAUCGUCACCAAAGUGUAUGUGGAUCUGCUGCAGAGAGAGAAUUCUGUCCAAGCCAUCUUUGGGAACCAGACUGACCUCCACCGAGAGCAAAACAAGUGACAUGGAAAAAGAGAAUGCAGACCAGAAUGAGUAGCGGUGAAUAUGAACUUCUAGUUAGCAAGUCAAGGAUUGACCAGCUGGAGAAAGAAAAUACAGAAAAACCAAAGGUGGCCUUUUAAACAGCACUGACUGAUGCAGGAUAUGUUGGACCAUACAACACAGUAACAACACUGAGAUACAGCAAGGUCUUCACCAACAUUGGCAAUGCUUAUAAUCCAGCUACAGGUUUCUUCACAGCACCACUCAAAGGGGUCUACUCAUUCCAGUUCACUAUGUGUGGUCAUAAAGCAGGUUAUAUGGGUGUUUCUGUGUACAAGAACAACCAACAUCUUAUGCAUAAUGUGGAGCGGAAAGAUGAACCAGGUCAUGAGUACCUCACUAACUCUGUUGUCUUGGAGCUGAGAGCAGGAGAUGAAAUCUGGCUGGUUCUCCCACAUGGCCAUUCUCUCUUUGACAGUGGAGAAAACCACAACAGCUUCAGUGGCUCCCUUCUCUUCCCACUGUAAGGAUGUUGUUUAGGCUGCUGUGUGAGUGAUAUGUCACAAUCCUUGUUGUUAUUGGAAACUCUGGGAUUCUUUAGAAAAUGUUUAUAUAUCUCAGCACUGCUGCCUCAAAAAUCAAAUGUCUGUAUAUUUACUGCAUGUAUCAAAUAAUGUGAUUUGUAAUCAAGUUUGAGUUUCUAUAUGGUCAUUGUAUAAAACAACGAAACAGCGAAGCGUCUUACUGAUCCAAUUGUAAAUUGUAAAAGUCAACACUUAUACACACAAAAAUAAGAUGGUUAGUAAGUCAAAUAUACAAAUAAAAAUAGUGGCACUUAUCUAAACACACAGUUAACAAUAUUAAUUCUAUUGCGAAUUAUUUAGUUAAAGAAGUGUAUAUAGUAAAGAUUUCCAGGUGCAAAGUAGGGCAUUAUAGUGAAAACUUAACACAAAGUUCCAAGUUGUUGUCUGAGUUUGUGUUGGGGGUGUGGGAUUAGGAAAGGGCGUAACUGGAGGGGUGCGAGCUGUGGAGUAUGUUUAACAGCCUGCUUCCCCAAAACUGCUUGGGGGGAAAAACUGUUUAUUAUUCUGGUAGUCCUUGCUCAGAUAGACCUGUACCAUCUUCCUGAGGGCAAGCGGUUAAACAAGUGAUGGGAUGGAUAUGAGUGAUCUCUGAUGAUGCUGUGAGAUUGGCGUAGGCAGCAGGAGGUGAUGGUGGUGACGUUUGGGAUCUGGGCCCCAAUGAUUUAUUUAUUUCACUUUAUUUCAAAGAGCUUGUUGUUCUGUCUUCGUGCAGCUGGUGAAGCACACUGACACGCUGUAUGUCAGCACACUUUCAAUGGCACAGUGAUAAAAUUUACCAGUAGCUCCUGCGCCAGGAUAUCUCUUCACUUUCCUUCAUGUUUAUGAAGUUUUGUUCAUGUUACGUUUAGUCACUUUAGGCAACUUUCUUCCUCACUCUCUGACGUAGUCUGUGUUUUCCUGGAAGUUAUAGCAACUAGAGGGAGCAAUGGGGAUAUGACUCCUUUGACAGGCAACAAAAUGAAACACAACAUUAACUUGAAAAAAAUCAUGAAUUUCUCUUUGAUGGAAACAUUUUGGGUAAUAUAAAAACAUAAUUAAAAAAAUAUAUAACAUCAGUAUAGUCAUUUUUCUGUUUUAACAUUUUAAUGUGGAAAUGUUAUAUAUCAUAAUUUUCAAUAACAUCACCAUUCACAUUUUCUUGAGUUCUAUCAUUGUGGGGAACUUUAUUGCAAUUAAAUUUUUGUGUUGUUUUUCUGGGAUUUUCCUGUAAAAUCCAAAUCCUGUGUUAGAAAAAUAAUUUUACAUCUGAAACAAUGUUGCAGUUAAAGGGAUUUGGUUUACUUUGAAGUGAUAAGAAUUCACAAGCACAACAAAGUUAUUUUGUGUAUGCAACCAGUCAAAAGUUUGGACACGCUUAGAAAAUGUCCUUGUUUUCGAAUGAAAAUCAAGUUUUUUGUUCAUUAAAAUAACACCACCUUGAGCAGAAAUACAGUGUAGGCAUUGUUAAUUUUGUAAAUAACAAUUGUUGCAGCAAACUGUUGAUUUGUAAUGGAAUAUCUACAGAGGCGUACAGAGGCCUGUUAUGCGCAAACAUAUAAUAUAUAAUCUAAGUUUAUUAUUUUAAAAGGCUAAUUAACCACAAGAAAACUAUUUUGCAAUCAUGGUAGCACAGCUAAAACUGUUACGCUGAUGAAAGAAACAACAAAACUGGCCUUCUUCAGACAAGUUGAGUAUCUGGAGCAUCAGCAAUUAUGGUUUUCAAUACAGGCUCAUAAUGGCCAGAAACAAAGAACUUUCUUCUGAAACACAUCAGUCUGUUCUUGUUUUGAGAAAUAAAGACUAUUCCAUGUAAGAAAUUGCCAAGAAACUGAAGAUCUUGUACAAUGCAGUGUACUACUCCCUUUACAGAACAGCGCAGACUCGAUCCAAAAAUCGUAAGAAAUGUAUCCGUUUACUUAGAUAGAACAAAAUAUUGGUACAGGAAGAUUACAGAAAC